rnacentral:lncRNA from 1 species
UAACGUUACUUAAAAAAGAGGGAAAAAAAAAUCCAAACCAUGAAGUUUAAAAAGAGGGAAUGAUGAAUUGAGGCCGGAAUGUGGCUGCGAGGGGGACCGCAUGGGGACAGCCCUGCUCAGCAGCUCUCCUCCUGGUGGUAAUAGUGGUACCCGGGGGGGUCGGCGCCCGGCUCUCCGGCGGCGUUGGCUGCGUCCCCCGGGGUGCCCUGUGGGCAGUAUUUGGGGUCGUAGAUCUGGCGGCCCAAACCGAAGACCUGCCCGCUCUGGUUGGCACCCUGGUUGGAGCCCAUCUGCAGUGACAUGGAGGAGUUGUCGCACUUCUCCAGCCCCAUCUUGGCGUCGUAGAUGUGCCGCCGGGUGCCGGGUGCUGUCAUGCCCACCUGGCUGGCACAUUUGUUGGUGCCCAUCUGCAGGCUGAUGGUGGAGUGGUCCAUGGGAGGCAGGAUCUGGUUCUUGGGGUCGUAGAGGUGCCUCCUGGUGCCAUAGGCCGUCAUGCCAGACUGGCUGGCACACUUAUUGGUGCCCAUCUGCAGCCCGAUCACGCACUGCCCAGCCUUCAUCUUGGCCUCAUCAAAGUUCCGUUGCUGCCGCUCCGAGUAUUUCACACCGAUGUCCACACCGCUCUGCAGCCCUUUGGUUUUGGCCAUGCCCGCCAGUGCCAGCAGUGACACCUGCACCUGUGUCAGGUUCCCACUCUCAAAGAGGUCGUUGGCUUCGAAGAGGUCCACGGGGUUCAUGCCGUAGCUGACCAUGGCCUUGAUGAAGUUGGAGAGGUUCUCGAGCUGGUGCCAGUUCAGUGCCGAGCGGUUGAUCUUCCUCACCGAGUUGGGCUGCAAUUUGUUCAUCAGCUCGCAGAGGAUGACCCCAUCCUUCAGCCCCUUCUGGAAGUCAGCCCCGAUCUGCCGCCCGGUGACGCUUUCGAUCCACGUCCGCAGCUCAGCCUCCUUCUGUGGGUCAUACUUCUGGGCGAGCCGGUUCUUGACCUCCGCGGAGAGGCCGUAGGAGGGGCCCUUGUUGAACUGGGAGCUGCUCAUGGCGCGGCGGCGGC